AGUGAACGCUGGCGGUAGGCCUAACACAUGCAAGUCGAACGGCAGCACAGUAAGAGCUUGCUCUUACGGGUGGCGAGUGGCGGACGGGUGAGGAAUACAUCGGAAUCUACUUUUUCGUGGGGGAUAACGUAGGGAAACUUACGCUAAUACCGCAUACGACCUACGGGUGAAAGCAGGGGAUCUUCGGACCUUGCGCGAUCGAAUGAGCCGAUGUCGGAUUAGCUAGUUGGCGGGGUAAAGGCCCACCAAGGCGACGAUCCGUAGCUGGUCUGAGAGGAUGAUCAGCCACACUGGAACUGAGACACGGUCCAGACUCCUACGGGAGGCAGCAGUGGAGAAUAUUGGACAAUGGGCGCAAGCCUGAUCCAGCCAUACCGCGUGGGUGAAGAAGGCCUUCGGGUUGUAAAGCCCUUUUGUUGGGAAAGAAAAGCAGCAGGUUAAUACCCCGCUGUUCUGGCGGUACCGAAAGAAUAAGCACCGGCUAACUUCG
rnacentral:rRNA from 1 species